GUGACGCUUAAUAACGUGCAUUUUGUUUAGCGCUCAGAAACAAAAUGCUACGCUGUUGUUCGAGUGACAGCAGAGUUGGCGGCUUGUUGACUGCACUGACUGUUAUGUUUUUGUCCCAUGUUUCAGAAAUAAACCAGUUGUGAGUGCUCCAUCCAA